UUUACGACGAUUUCUUAUAUGUGGUCUUUACGACGAUUUGUGCUUACGUGGAAUUAACGAGCCCCUUUCUUUAUUUUUAUAUUUCGUCGUUAUAUCCUCGUUGGCUUACGAGUCCUUAACGACGAUUUGUGCUUACGUGGAAUUAACGAGUGUUAUGUUUAAAUCCCUAGAAUCCGAAACCCCAAACCCUAAACCCCAUAUUCCUUAUUUUCUACUUCAUAUAUUUCAAACCCCAUCU
rnacentral:lncRNA from 1 species